rnacentral:tmRNA from 1 species
GGGGAUGAUGGGCUUUGACAAAAUCCCAUCCGAUAAAUUGCAGGCCGAGCCGAUCGUCUCGUCCCUAAGCCGACUAACGUCGGCCGGGACCCCGGCGCAUAGCGCUUAGGGGUAAAUCCGGUCAAAAACUUUCAACUGCCAACAGCAAUGUUGCAGCGCCGGCUUUCGCUUUAGCUUAAGCCGACCAUCGGACCACGAUGCCUAAUAGUGGGCCUCCGGUGUCAUAAUUAGGCCCGCCGCAACCAAUGGUUCUAAAUUGCGGCCAGAUUCAGAACCAAAAACUGCCGCCUCAAGCGGAUAAGCUUGUAGAUUGUUUGUCGGAUAAAUUUUGGACGCGAGUUCGACUCUCGCCAUCUCCACUA